rnacentral:lncRNA from 1 species
AGCAACCCCGCCCAGGGAUGGAGGACCAGGCAGGGAGGGGGGCCGGAGAAGCGAAAGAGAUAGAUCAAAAAGAGGAAAGAAGAGGGACUGGGAAGCUAGGGCGACUGAGGAUACGCCGAGGUCUAGUCCGGCUUGGCAGCGCGAACUAGAGAGCUUUGCGAGCCGCGGGGCUGGGAAGUCAGGGCAUAAGGGCCAGGCCUGCCCUCUGGUGCUUUCGGCUCCUCGGGCCCCCGACUUUAAAGUGCUCAAGUUGGGGUCGGCGCCAUCAUGACGCCUGAGACUGAUUGCCAUCACUGCCACCAUCACCCUUGCCACCAUCACUGUUGCCUUCGCCGAGCUUACCAACAGCUACUUCAGGAAAAAGUCCACUGCGGAAGAAAAAAUGAAAAAGUACAAAUUCUUAGUGACAAGCAAAGCAUCACACCAGUACCUCCAGGAUGAACAGUCUCAGCACCCGAGUGUGAACUGGAGGACAAGUGGACGAAGCCUCUAGUCUCAUCAGCACACAGACACUCCACGAUGAAAUGCCAGUGACAACUAUGCCUCUGAGCUCCCUUUCAGCUGUAGCAAGGCAAAGAUAUGAGUCUGUCCAAUAUCUAGGGCUCCUUCCAGAAUAUCAGAUGCACCCUAUAUUUAAUUGCUGGAUGUUUGGAUUGCUGCUGCAGGUCAUGGUGAGUACAGGCCUCACCACCAGAGAAAGCUCAUACCUGGGCAGGCAAUAGCUAUCCCUAACCAUCAUAUCUUCUGGAUAGUGUUCCUAAACACCGGCAAUCUUGGUAAUUAUUUUUUGUUUCAUCACUGUAAAAUAUUUUAAGUCUAUAUGACAUCCAAAUUUAUGUAUUUCCUGGCAAUCCAUAGAGAAUUUUAUCAGAACUGUGUUAGGUGGGUUUGUAUAUAUUAUAUGGAUAAGUUAAAAAUGAGUGUCAAAAAGAUUUUCAAGAUGAAAAUAUUUACAAUUCACCUAUAAUUUUAACUUCGGUAGAAAAUAAACAACUUUAUUCUGGUUGUAUUUGGUAGAAUAUAAACAAAUUUUAUAUUCACACAUGCUAUUUAUAAUGUGUAAUAUUUAGACAUUAUUAUUGGGCUCAACAAACAUCGGCAUUGUGCUCAUUGAAAUAAUUUCAUUUUACGCACAAGUUCUAACUUUAGAUAGUAUUUGCAGAGAACCCACAAUUUCUGCAUAAGACAUAAAUCAUGAUUUUGAACAAAAGUGAUGUGCUUUAUUUGUUAAUGAUCACCAAGAUUUACACUCA